rnacentral:rRNA from 2 species
AUAACUAAGCGGAGGAAAAGAAACCAACCGGGAUUACCCCAGUAACGGCGAGUGAAGCGGUAACAGCCCAGCGCCGAAUCCACCGUGGCUAACGCUCGGCUGGAACUGUGGCGUGCGGGACGUAGCCAGUCGGCGUGGAAAGAUACCAAAGUCCCCCCGAGCGGGGCCCUUCCCAUAGCGGGUGCCAGGCCUCUGUCGGUAUCUAUCCCGUUGACCGCUACAGUCUCUGGAGUCGGGUUGCUUGGGAAUGCAGCCCGAAGUGGGAGGUAAACUCCUCCUAAGGCUAAAUACCGGCGCGAGUCCGAUAGCGAACAAGUACCGUGAGGGAAAGUU